UACGGAGGGUGCAAACGUUGCUCGGAAUUAUUGGGCGUAAAGCGCACGUAGGCGGCUCGUUAAGUCGGAUGUGAAAUCCCUCGGCUCAACCGAGGAAGUGCAUCCGAAACUGGCGAGCUUGAGUACGGAAGAGGGUCUCGGAAUUCCCGGUGUAGAGGUGAAAUUCGUAGAUAUCGGGAGGAACACCAGUGGCGAAGGCGGCUUUCUGGACGACAACUGACGCUGAGACGCGAAAGCGUGGGGAGCAAACAGG
rnacentral:rRNA from 1 species